AUUGAUCCUGGCUCAGGAUUAACGCUAGCGGCAUGCCUAAUACAUGCAAGUCGAACGAAAGUAGCAAUACUUUAGUGGCGAACGGGUGAGUAACACGUAUCUAACCUACCAUUUAGUGAGGAAUAACUGUUGGAAACAACAGCUAAUACCGCAUAUGUUAUUUAUUUGCAAUGAUAAAUAAUGAAAGGAGCAUUUGCUUCGCUAAUUGAUGGGGAUGCGGCGCAUUAACUAGUUGGUAAGGUAAUGGCUUACCAAGGUAACGAUGCGUAGCCGAUCUGAGAGGAUGAACGGCCACAUUGGGAAUGAGACACGGCCCAAACUUCUACGGAAGGCAGCAGUAGGGAAUUUUUCACAAUGGGCGAAAGCCUGAUAGAGCAAUGCCGCGUGACUGAUGAAGGUCUUCGGAUUGUAAAAGUCUGUUGUAAG
rnacentral:rRNA from 1 species